rnacentral:tRNA from 1 species
GCCAGUUUGGUCUAGUGGUGAAGGCACCAGGCCAGAAAGAAGGAGACUGUGAGUUCAAGUCCCACAUUAGGCA